rnacentral:lncRNA from 1 species
AUGAAGGGUGCUGGUUGGUUUGAAUUAUUAUCCUGUUUUAGAUGGUUUUCCUUCCCCAAUCUAAAGUUAGAGGAGGAAAAUGGCCUGUCCCUUGAUUGGGAAGAUCCAAGGAAACAUUUCAGCGAUGAAAGCAAUCUUGAGAAGUGGAACAACAGACGGAAAAGAGGAAACAAAGGCAGACAGAUAAAGACUUGGAAAGACCUGCCAGUCAGACAAGCAGCCCACGGGAAGCCUGUGCACAUCCAUGUCAGGUCCGAAGAGACUUCUGUUUCACCAGCCUACCAUUGCAUCAUCAGAAGAGAAUUCCAAAAAUAUUUCAUAUUUUCAAAGGUGAUAUUGGUUCAUUCCACAGAACCAGGAAAUUAUCAAAAAGAUACUUACUUUCAUGCUAUCGAAGUACUGCUGGACUUGCAACAACUAUUGCUAACAUGUUCUUGAAUUAA